GACGAACGCUGGCGGCGUGCCUAAUACAUGCAAGUCGAGCGGAGAUCCUUCGGGAUCUUAGCGGCGGACGGGUGAGUAACACGUGGGCAACCUGCCUGUAAGACUGGGAUAACACCGGGAAACCGGUGCUAAUACCGGAUAAUUCUUUUUCUCUCAUGAGGAAAAGCUGAAAGUCGGUUUCGGCUGACACUUACAGAUGGGCCCGCGGCGCAUUAGCUAGUUGGUGAGGUAACGGCUCACCAAGGCGACGAUGCGUAGCCGACCUGAGAGGGUGAUCGGCCACACUGGGACUGAGACACGGCCCAGACUCCUACGGGAGGCAGCAGUAGGGAAUCUUCCGCAAUGGACGAAAGUCUGACGGAGCAACGCCGCGUGAGCGAUGAAGGCCUUCGGGUCGUAAAGCUCUGUUGUCAGAGAAGAACAAGUAUCGGAGUAACUGCCGGUACCUUGACGGUACCUGACCAGAAAGCCACGGCUAACUACGUGCCAGCCGCCGCCGUAAAAC
rnacentral:rRNA from 1 species